GUGGGAGCACUGCCCGCCUGCCUUUAUGUGACCUUAACGCGGGUUUCUGUGCAUAGUGCCAAGUAGGAAACGCCGGUGUUUGGUGCCGCGUUAGGCUUCAGCCUGUACUUAGGAAAAAAAAAAAAAAGAAAAAGUUAUUUCAAGUUAAAGAAGUUCAGUCUAAAGAUGUUGAUAAAAGAUGUUUAUUAUAAAAUAAGUAGGUGAGGUCUGAUAUUAUUACCAUGAAGGAUGAUGGAUUCUAUGCAGCAUGGAGGAUUUAUCUGAUAGAAGUUACAAGGCAAAUACACACCAUGCAAGUGACAAGUAAAUGUGACGGUAGAACUCGUGAGCUCUGAGCAGUGCUGUGAAUGUAACACAAAUAAACCUUUCUUAUUUCAA